UACGUAUGGUGCAAGCGUUAUCCGGAUUUACUGGGUGUAAAGGGAGCGCAGGCGGCGCGUUAAGCCUGGUGUGAAAGCCCGCGGCUUAACCGCGGAACUGCUUUGGAAACUUUUUUGCUGGAGUACCGGAGAGGUAAGCGGAAUUCCUGGUGUAGCGGUGAAAUGCGUAGAUAUCAGGAGGAACACCGGCGGCGAAGGCGGCCUGCUGGACCGCGACUGACGUUGAGGCUCGAAAGCGUGGGGAGCGAACAGG
rnacentral:rRNA from 1 species